UACAGAGGGUGCAAGCGUUAAUCGGAAUUACUGGGCGUAAAGCGUGCGUAGACGGUCAUGUAAGUCGGGUGUGAAAGCCCCGGGCUCAACCUGGGAAUUGCAUUCGAGACUGCAUGGCUAGGAUGCGGAAGAGGGAAGCGGAAUUUCCGGUGUAGCGGUGAAAUGCGUAGAUAUCGGGAGGAACACCAGUGGCGAAAGCGGCUACCUGGCCCAUUCUUGACGCUGAGGCGCGAAAGCUAGGGGAGCAAACGGG
rnacentral:rRNA from 1 species